rnacentral:rRNA from 1 species
UACGAAGGGUGCAAGCGUUACUCGGAAUUAUUGGGUGUAAAGGGCGUGUAGGCGGCAUUAUAAGUCUAUUGUUUAAAUUUCUGGCCUAACUGGAAAACUGCGAUAGAUACUGUAUUGCUAGAGUAUGGAAGAGAGAAGCGGAAUUCUCGGAGUAGCGGUUAAAUGCGUAGAUCUCGAGAGGAACACCAAUGGCGAAGGCAGCUUCUUAGUACAUUACUGACGCUAAAGCGCGAAAGCGUGGGGAGCAAACAGG